UACGUAGGGUGCAAGCGUUGUCCGGAAUUAUUGGGCGUAAAGAGCUCGUAGGCGGUUUGUCGCGUCUGCUGUGAAAUCCCGAGGCUCAACCUCGGGCUUGCAGUGGGUACGGGCAGACUAGAGUGCGGUAGAGGAGAGUGGAAUUCCUGGUGUAGCGGUGAAAUGCGUAGAUAUCAGGAGGAACACCGAUGGCGAAGGCAGCUCUCUGGGGCGGCCCUGACGCUGAGGCGCGAAAGCGUGGGGAGCGAACGGGAUUAGAUACCCUUGUAGU
rnacentral:rRNA from 1 species